rnacentral:rRNA from 2 species
GUGUGUCGAUGAAGAGCGCAGCCAACCGUGUGAAUUAAUGCGAACUGCAUACUGCUUUGAACAUCGACAUCUUGAACGCAUAUUGCGGCCACGGGUUAGCCUGUGGCCACGCCUGUCCGAGGGUC